AAGUCGUAACAAGGUUUCCGUAGGUGAACCUGCGGAAGGAUCAUUACCAAUUUUAAUCCAUCUCUCAAACCCAUGUGCACCAUGAUGUUGUCUGUCCUUGGGGUGAAUUGAUUUUUCUUGCUACAUGGCUAGCAAGUGAUUAUAUUCACCCCAAAUAUUUUGUUAAAACCUUUUAUUUCUUGACCAUGGCAUCUAUUGUCUUAAUAAAUAAAAUAAAGGACAACUUUUAACGGUGGAUCUCUUGGCUCGUG
rnacentral:misc_RNA from 1 species